GAUGAACGCUAGCGGGAGGCUUAACACAUGCAAGUCGAGGGGAAACAGCAGUAGCUUGCUACUAGAUGUCGACCGGCGGACGGGUGCGUAACGCGUAUACAAUCUGCCUUAUACAGGAGAAUAGCCCAGAGAAAUUUGGAUUAAUGCUCCAUAGUCUUUUUCUGCCGCAUGGUAGAAUUUGUAAAGCUUCGGCGGUAUAAGAUGAGUAUGCGUUCUAUUAGCUAGUUGGUGAGGUAACUGCUCACCAAGGCCACGAUAGAUAGGGGUUCUGAGAGGAUGAUCCCCCACACUGGUACUGAGACACGGACCAGACUCCUACGGGAGGCAGCAGUGAGGAAUAUUGGUCAAUGGGCGCAAGCCUGAACCAGCCAUCCCGCGUGAAGGACGACGGCUCUACGAGUUGUAAACUUCUUUUAUAUACCAAGAAAAGUAGCUACGUGUAGUUAUCUGACGGUAGUAUAUGAAUAAGCACCGGCUAACUCCG
rnacentral:rRNA from 1 species